rnacentral:rRNA from 1 species
CAGCCGCCGCGGUAAUACGAAGGGGGCUAGCGUUGUUCGGAUUUACUGGGCGUAAAGCGCACGUAGGCGGAUCCUUAAGUCAGAGGUGAAAUCCCAAGGCCCAACCUUGGAACUGCCUUUGAUACUGGGGAUCUCGAGUCCGGGAGAGGUGAGUGGAACUGCGAGUGUAGAGGUGAAAUUCGUAGAUAUUCGCAAGAACACCAGUGGCGAAGGCGGCUCACUGGCCCGGUACUGACGCUGAGGUGCGAAAGCGUGGGGAGCAAACAGGAUUAGAUACCCGGGUAGUCCCUGUCUCUUAUAA